rnacentral:rRNA from 1 species
CCUACGGGAGGCAGCAGUGAGGAAUAUUGGUCAAUGGACGAAAGUCUGAACCAGCCAUGCCGCGUGCAGGAUGACGGCUCUAUGAGUUGUAAACUGCUUUUGUACGAGGGUAAACGCAGAUACGCGUAUCUGUUUGAAAGUAUCGUACGAAUAAGGAUCGGCUAACUCCGUGCCAGCAGCCGCGGUAAUACGGAGGAUUCAAGCGUUAUCCGGAUUUAUUGGGUUUAAAGGGUGCGUAGGCGGUCGGAUAAGUUAGAGGUGAAAUCCCGGGGCUCAACCUCGGAAUUGCCUCUGAUACUGUUCGGCUAGAGAGUAGUUGCGGUAGGCGGAAUGUAUGGUGUAGCGGUGAAAUGCUUAGAGAUCAUACAGAACACCGAUUGCGAAGGCAGCUUACCAAGCUACUGCUGACGUUGAGGCACGAAAGCGUGGGGAGCAAACAGGAUUAGAUACCCCAGUAGUC